AGUUUAUGGGGCAUGAGACUCAUAAGUUUGACUCUUGCUUUGUUUUUUGUUAUUAGGUUUAUAAAAUAUAUGCAAAUUUUGGUCUGAAAAGCUCUAUUGGAUAAUUUAAUAUUUGGAGGCAAAUAACCAGGAAAGUGUAUUUAUGAUAGCUUGAGCGGCAGUAUUAAGGUUUUGAAUGGUUAGCGAGAGCUAGAGCAAGUAAAAUAAUAAGGCCUGGUUAAACUUUGUGCCAGCAGCCGCGGUUAGACUUACAGGCCAAAUAAAAAUGGGUUAGCAGAUAGUUAAUGGGGAAUGUACUCUUAUUGUAUUUUACUAUGUUGAAAGGUGAAAUUUAUAGAUAAUUGGUACGUAAAAAAAUGUAAGCGUAUAUUGAUAAUGAGGCUAUUAAAAUAUAGAGAUAGACCAGGAUUAGAUACCCUGUUAUACUAUAGUUAAAAAAUUUGGUUACAGCUAGAGUAGUAAGAAUAAAUUAGUUUAAAAUUCAAAGAGUUUGGCGGCAUUCUAGUCCGGUUAGAGGAACCUGUUCUGUAAACGAUAGUCCUCGUAAAAUCUUUCUUGCUUUUGUUAAGUUAGUAUACCUUCAUUAUUAGAUAAUUUUCUGACAUAAAUUAUUGUAAUUGAUUAAAAUCAAGGAUAUUAGAUCGCGGUGCUGCUGAUAAGCAAGUAUUAAUGGGUUACAAUGAGAUUGAGUUAAACGGAUCUAUCAAUGAAAAAGAUAGUAAAGGCGGAUUUAAUUGUAAUGUAGGUUUAAUAAGCUUGCUUGAGAUAGGCUCUAGAGUGUGUACAUAUUGCCCGUCGCUUUCAUUAUUUAAAUGAGAUAAGUCGUAACAUAGUAGGUGUACUGGAAAGUGUACCUAGAAAGA
rnacentral:ncRNA from 1 species